rnacentral:rRNA from 1 species
AUUGAACGCUGGCGGCAGGCCUAACACAUGCAAGUCGAACGAGUGGCGGACGGGUGAGUAAUGUCUGGGAAACUGCCUGAUGGAGGGGGAUACCUCCUGGAAACGGUAGCUAAUACCGCCUACAAUCAGAUGUGCCCAGAUGGGAGUAGCUUGUUGGUGGGGUAACGGCUCACCAAGGCGACGAUCCCUAGCUGGUCUGAGAGGAUGACCAGCCACACUGGAACUGUGACACGGUCCAGACUCCUACGGGAGGAAGCAGUGGGAAAGAUAGCACAAGGGGCGAAAGCCUGAUGACGCCAUGCUGCGUGUAGGAAGAAGGCCUUCGGGUUGUAAAGUACUUUCAGCUGGGAGGCGUUACCCGCAGAAGAAGCACCGGCUAACUCCGUGCCAGCAGCCGCGGUAAUUC